GCGGGCGUGGCGGAACUGGUAGACGCGCGAGGUUUAGGUCCUCGUGGCCAUCGGCUGUGGGGGUUCGAGUCCCUCCGCCCGCA
rnacentral:tRNA from 1 species